UACGGAAGGCAGCAGUGGGGAAUAUUGCACAAUGGGCGAAAGCCUGAUGCAGCUAUGCCGCGUGUAUGAAGAAGGCCUUAGGGUUGUAAAGUACUUUCAUCGGGGAGGAAAAAACAAAACUAAUAAUUUUAUUUCUUGACGUUACCCGAAAAAGAAGCACCGGCUAACUCCGUGCCAGCAGCCGCGGUAAUACGGAGGGUGCUAGCGUUAAUCAGAAUUACUGGGCGUAAAGAGCACGUAGGUGGUUUUUUUAAAGUCAGAUGUGAAAUCCCUGGGCUUAACCUGGAAACUGCAUUUUGAAACUGAAAUACUAGAGUAUCGUAGAGGGAGGUAGAAUUCUAGGUGUAGCGGUGAAAUGCGUAGAUAUCUGGAGGAAUACCUGUGGCGAAAGCGGCCUCCUAAACGAAUACUGACACUGAGGUGCGAAAAGCGUGGGGAGCAAACAGGGAUUAGAUACC
rnacentral:rRNA from 1 species